ACUGCUUCUUGGCCUUUUGGCUAAGAUCAAGUGUAGCAUCUGUUCUUACCAGUUUAAUAUUUGAUAUGUCCUCUAUCGGAGAAUAAUAUAUUUUUAAAAACCCAGGAUAAAAUUGAACACAUU
rnacentral:snRNA from 1 species